GACGAACGCUGGCGGCGUGCUUAACACAUGCAAGUCGAACGCUGAAGCUCAGCUUUUGUUGGGUGGAUGAGUGGCGAACGGGUGAGUAACACGUGAGUAACCUGCCUCCUUCUUUGGGAUAACGCCCGGAAACGGGUGCUAAUACUGGAUAUUCACUGGUCUUCGCAUGGGGGUUGGUGGAAAGGGUUUUUCUGGUGGGGGAUGGGCUCGCGGCCUAUCAGCUUGUUGGUGGGGUGAUGGCCUACCAAGGCUUUGACGGGUAGCCGGCCUGAGAGGGUGACCGGUCGCAUUGGGACUGAGAUACGGCCCAGACUCCUACGGGAGGCAGCAGUGGGGAAUAUUGCACAAUGGGCGCAAGCCUGAUGCAGCGACGCCGCGUGAGGGAUGGAGGCCUUCGGGUUGUGAACCUCUUUCGCUCAUGGUCAAGCCGCAACAAUGGUUGUGGUGAGGGUAGUGGGUAAAGAAGCGCCGGCUAACUACGUG
rnacentral:rRNA from 1 species